rnacentral:rRNA from 1 species
CCUACGGGCGGCAGCAGUGGGGAAUAUUGGACAAUGGGGGCAACCCUGAUCCAGCCAUGCCGCGUGUGUGAAGAAGGCCCUCGGGUUGUAAAGCACUUUCAGUGAGGAAGAACGCCUGGUGGUUAAUACCCAUCAGGAAAGACAUCACUCACAGAAGAAGCACCGGCUAACUCCGUGCCAGCAGCCGCGGUAAUACGGAGGGUGCGAGCGUUAAUCGGAAUUACUGGGCGUAAAGCGCGCGUAGGUGGCUUGAUAAGCCGGUUGGGAAAGCCCCGGGCUCAACCUGGGAACGGCAUCCGGAACUGUCAAGCUAGAGUGCAGGAGAGGAAGGUAGAAUUCCCGGUGUAGCGGUGAAAUGCGUAGAGAUCGGGAGGAAUACCAGUGGCGAAGGCGGCCUUCUGGACUGACACUGACACUGAGGUGCGAAAGCGUGGGUAGCAAACAGGAUUAGAUACCCUAGUAGUC